UAGCCUAACCUACAAACGUAUAUUCUUAAAUACCUUCCCCGGCGCGAUGGCCGCGGCCGCGGCAGAAACACAGAUGGGCGACGGGGCUCCGCCGCCAGGGGCUCUAUACUCCUUCGGAACGCCGUGGCCGGAGCUCAAUCAAGGCCUCACCUACACCGACACGUUCCGUUGCGCUGAUGCGGACGCCGCUACCACCUUGAUUGAGUUCUACUCUACUAACCACAAGAGCUCGGCGCCAUUGCCAGGGUGGAUCAAGAGGAUUCGUAAUGGGCAGAUAACCGUUGAUGGUGAAGUUGUCACUGAUCCAGAUAUGACUCUGGUGGAUGGGUCUAAGUUGGUAUAUCAUCGUUUUCCUUGGCAGGAGCCAUUUGCGCCGUAUUUGCUGGAAGUGCUCUACGAGGAUGAUGACAUGGUUGCCCUUAAUAAGCCUUCUGGCUUGCAAGUUCUGCCUAAAGGACUGUUUCAGCAGCGAACUGUUUUAGCACAGCUUCAAUUGAAAGACUGGAAGAUGGCCUCAUCUUGCCGGUUCAAGAGAAAAGAUGUGCAGUCACAUCCAGUACCUGUUCAUCGUUUAGGGAGGGGAACAUCAGGCCUCCUGCUUUGUGCCAAGACAAAAGUUGCCAAAGUUCGACUUGCAUCUUAUUUUGCUGAAGGUGCUAUAAAUGCUGCAAAGAAAAGGGAUAAAUCAGAGUUCAGUGAAGAGCGAAAAAUUUCAAAAUUUUAUCGAGCCUUAGUGACUGGCAUACUUGAUGAUGAUGAGGUUGUUGUUACGCAACCUAUAGGGUUAGUUCAUUAUCCUGGAGUUGCAGAGGGACUUUAUGCAGCAUGUUCCUCAGGAAAGCCAGCAAUGAGCAAAGUAUGUGUUCUUGAGAGACUUGCACACCAAAAUCACACACUGGUCCAGGUUGAAAUUCAUUCAGGACGACCUCACCAAAUAAGGAUACACCUUGCAUACAUUGGGCACCCACUUGUAGACUUGGAACAGGCUAUGCUGCACCAACAUAUACUGAGACAACAUAGAUGACCCUCUCUAUGGUAUUGGUGGGCACCCCAAUUUUGUUGAGCCAGAAUCUACUGGCACAGAUAGUUCUUUUGCAUCUGAUGGGGGUUAUGAGAGACCUUUGCAACCUGUUCCUGGAGACUGUGGGUAUCACCUGCAUGCACAUUGGCUGGUUCUUUGCCACCCAACAACCAAUAAGGUGAUUAAACAUAUAUAUAAUCUUGGGCAGAUGGUAAAAAUUACCGCUCCUCUUCCACAAAUUCUACAGACACGGGAGGAACGCCGCGCUGCAGCUGAGCAAACCGGUGGUUGAACAUGUAGAAUCUUGAAAAUGUAUAUUUCUUGAAGUUAGCAAGCAGCAGGUUCUCACAGACGUUAGAGUUAGACACUCAGACCUCUGCUCCUCUGUCAACUGUACAACGGCGAGCUAUGGUUCCGCUUGAUGCAGCGCCGUCUCAUGUGACGUUUAGGCCAGGCUACCGAGAUGGAGAAAUAACAUUAGGUAUUUAAAAAUAAAUAGAGUACUAGCUAAUGAGCUCACACAAAUCUUGUUCAGUCUAUUCGAAGCGCAAUUCGCUGAAAAAAUGUUUCUUCGCUCACACAAAUAUGAUUUGGUUUGAAAUGGAGGGAGGUGAUAAUUGUAGAAGAA